rnacentral:rRNA from 1 species
UGAUACGAAGGGUGCAAGCGUUAUCCGGAUUUAUUGGGUUUAAAGGGUCCGUAGGCGGGCCGAUAAGUCAGUGGUGAAAUCUCAUAGCUCAACUAUGAAACUGCCGUUGAUACUGUCGGUCUUGAGUAAAUUUGAAGUGGCUGGAAUAAGUAGUGUAGCGGUGAAACGCAUAGAUAUUACUUAGAACACCAAUUGCGAAGGCAGGUCACUAAGAUUUAACUGACGCUGAGGGACGAAAGCGUGGGGAGCGAACAGGAUUAGAUACCCUGGUAGUCCACGCUGUAAACGAUGCUAACUCGUUUUUGGAUUUUCGGAUUCAGAGACCAAGCGAAAGUGAUAAGUUAGCCACCUGGGGAGUACGUUCGCAAGAAUGAAACUCAAAGGAAUUGACGGGGGCCCGCACAAGCGGUGGAUUAUGUGGUUUAAUUCGAUGAUACGCGAGGAACCUUACCAAGACUUAAAUGGGAAUUGACAGGCUUAGAAAUAGGCUUUUCUUCGGACAAUUUCCAAGGUGCUGCAUGGUUGUCGUCAGCUCGUGCCGUGAGGUGUUAGGUUAAGUCCUGCAACGAGCGCAACCCCUGUCACUAGUUGCUACCAUUCAGUUGAGGACUCUAGUGAGACUGCCUACGCAAGUAGAGAGGAAGGUGGGGAUGACGUCAAAUCAUCACGGCCCUUACGUCUUGGGCCACACACGUAAUACAAUGGCCGGUACAGAGGGCAGCUACACAGCGAUGUGAUGCGAAUCUCGAAAGCCGGUCUCAGUUCGGAUUGGAGUCUGCAACUCGACUCUAUGAAGCUGGAAUCGCUAGUAAUCGCGCAUCAGCCAUGGCGCGGUGAAUACGUUCCCGGGCCUUGUACACACCGCCCGUCAAGCCAUGGAAGCCGGGGGUACCUGAAGUCGGUGACCGUA